ACGGAAGGCAGCAGUGGGGAAUAUUGCACAAUGGGGGAAACCCUGGUGCAGCGGCGCCGCGUGAAGGAAGAAGUAUCUCGGUAUGUAAACUUCUAUCAGCAGGGAAGAUAAUGACGGUACCUGACUAAGAAGCCCCGGCUAACUACGUGCCAGCAGCCGCGGUAAUACGUAGGGGGCAAGCGUUAUCCGGAUUUACUGGGUGUAAAGGGAGCGUAGACGGAUCGGCAAGUCUGAUGUGAAAGGCAGGGGCUCAACUCCUGGACUGCAUUGGAAACUGUCGGUCUUGAGUGCCGGAGGGGUAAGCGGAAUUCCUAGUGUAGCGGUGAAAUGCGUAGAUAUUAGGAGGAACACCAGUGGCGAAGGCGGCUUACUGGACGGUAACUGACGUUGAGGCUCGAAAGCGUGGGGAGCAAACAGGAUUAGAUACCCUGGUA
rnacentral:rRNA from 1 species